GGGGUAGCUCAGCGGUAGAGCAUGGAAGAUGUCUUCGACCUCCUUGUCGCGAAUCCUUGACUAAAAAUGGCGAAUGCAGGUGGAACUCCAUCGCUACGGACGACCAGGUCGCCGGUUCGAAUCCGGCUCGGGCCA
rnacentral:tRNA from 1 species